rnacentral:rRNA from 1 species
UACGGGGGGGGCAAGCGUUGUUCGGAAUUACUGGGCGUAAAGGGCUCGUAGGCGGCCAACUAAGUCAGACGUGAAAUCCCCCAGGCUCAACCUGGGAACUGCGUCUGAUACUGGAUGGCUUGAAAUUCGGGAGAGGGAUGCAGAAUUCCAGGUGUAGCGGUGAAAUGCGUAGAUAUCUGGAGGAAUACCGGUGGCGAAGGCGGCAUCCUGGACCGACAUUGACGCUGAUGAGCGAAAGCUAGGGGAGCAAACGGG